rnacentral:rRNA from 1 species
UACGAAGGGUGCAAGCGUUAAUCGGAAUUACUGGGCGUAAAGCGCACGUAGGCGGAUUGUUAAGUCGGGGGUGAAAUCCUGGAGCUCAACUCCAGAACUGCCUUCGAUACUGGCGAUCUCGAGUUCGGGAGAGGUGAGUGGAACUGCGAGUGUAGAGGUGAAAUUCGUAGAUAUUCGCAAGAACACCAGUGGCGAAGGCGGCUCACUGGCCCGAUACUGACGCUGAGGUGCGAAAGCGUGGGGAGCGAACAGG